CCUACGGGUGGCAGCAGUGAGGAAUAUUGGUCAAUGGCCGAGAGGCUGAACCAGCCAAGCCGCGUGAGGGAAGAAGGUCCAAAGGGUCGUAAACCUCUUUUGUCAGGGAGCAAAGGCGGUCACGCGUCCCUGAAUGAGAGUACCCGAAGAAAAAGCAUCGGCUAACUCCGUGCCAGCAGCCGCGGUAAUACGGAGGAUGCGAGCGUUAUCCGGAUUUAUUGGGUUUAAAGGGUGCGCAGGCGGGCGUGUAAGUCAGCGGUCAAAGCACGGGGCUCAACCCCGGCCCGCCGUUGAAACUGCAAGUCUUGAGUGGGAGAGAAGUAUGCGGAAUGCGCGGUGUAGCGGUGAAAUGCAUAGAUAUCGCGCAGAACUCCGAUUGCGAAGGCAGCAUGCCGGCGCCACACUGACGCUGAGGCACGAAAGCGUGGGUAUCGAACAGGAUUAGAUACCCCUGUAGUC
rnacentral:rRNA from 1 species